rnacentral:tRNA from 1 species
CAGGGAGACAACAAAAUGUUUAAUAUUAUUAUUUUGUCACCUUAGGUCGAUCGGUAUCUCACGUUCUUAAUUAAGAAUUUCAUUUCCUAAGUUUUUCUAGGUCACACCCAUUAUUUUUCCUGGGCCAUUAGCUCAGGUGGUUAGAGCGCACCCCUGAUAAGGGUGAGGUCCCUGGUUCAAGUCCAGGAUGGCCCAUAUCUCUAUGUUGGGGGUAUAGCUCAGUUGGUAGAGCGCCUGCUUUGCAAGCAGGAUGUCAGCGGUUCGAGUCCGCUUACCUCCACUGAUUACCACCUCUUCCAUAAUCUGUAAAAAGGAAAUGUUUUGAGUUGUGAUCAAAUUCUGAACGAAUCUAGCUUCCUAAUGAAAUCAUUAAGAUGCUGGACUCAUUGAAUUAAUUUCAUUGUUUUCAGAGAACCUUGACAACUGCAUAGAUUAUUUUUAAAGACAAUAAGCAUCUUUAAUGAUGCAGAUUUAUUAUUUGUGCGAAUGCAUUAAUAACAAUUCUAUUAAGCUGAUGCUUCAAUUUUGAAGUUAUU